UACGAAGGGUGCAAGCGUUACUCGGAAUUACUGGGCGUAAAGCGUGCGUAGGUGGUUUGUUAAGUCUGAUGUGAAAGCCCUGGGCUCAACCUGGGAACUGCAUUGGAAACUGGCUGACUAGAGUGCGGUAGAGGGGUGUGGAAUUCCCGGUGUAGCAGUGAAAUGCGUAGAUAUCGGGAGGAACACCAGUGGCGAAGGCGACACCCUGGACCAGCACUGACACUGAGGCACGAAAGCGUGGGGAGCAAACAGG
rnacentral:rRNA from 1 species